AUUCUCCUGCCUCAGCCUCCUGAGCAACUGGGACUACAGAUUGAAAUUUGAUGUCAAGCCUCAAGCUGGGAGUAACAGGAGGAAGUGAGCCUCUGGAAACUGCUGUUCUACCGAGGACUCGUGAUCGGCUGCACCUGGCUAGAUUCUGGACUAUCACUGCCCUUACCAGCCAGCUUCGGCCAGCUAAAGUCAGCUGCUCUUUGUGGUUGACAUAAAUUUCAUUUGACAUUU